CACAAGCGGUGGAGUAUGUGGUUUAAUUCGAUGCAACGCGAAGAACCUUACCUGGUCUUGACAUCCCGGAGACCCUUAGGAAACUAGGGGUGCUUCCAUCUGGAAGAAUCUGGAGACAGGUGCUGCAUGGCUGUCGUCAGCUCGUGUCGUGAGAUGUUGGGUUAAGUCCCGCAACGAGCGCAACCCUUGCCUUUAGUUGCCAGCAGUUCGGCUGGGCACUCUAAAGGGACUGCCGGUGUUAAACCGGAGGAAGGUGGGGAUGACGUCAGGUCCUCAUGGCCUUUAUGACCAGGGCUACACACGUACUACAAUGGCCGAUACAAAGGGCAGCGACACUGCGAGGUGAAGCCAAUCCCGUAAAAUCGGUCUCAGUCCGGAUUGGAGUCUGCAACUCGACUCCAUGAAGUUGGAAUCGCUAGUAAUCGUGGAUCAGCAUGCCACGGUGAAUACGUUCCCGGGCCUU
rnacentral:rRNA from 1 species